GAUGAACGCUGGCGGCGUGCCUAAUACAUGCAAGUCGAGCGAACAGACGAGGAGCUUGCUCCUCUGACGUUAGCGGCGGACGGGUGAGUAACACGUGUAUAACCUACCUAUAAGACUGGUAUAACUUCGGGAAACCGGAGCUAAUACCGUAUAAUAUAUUGAACCGCAUUGUUGAAUAGUAAAAGACGGUUUUUGGGGAACUUAUAGAUGGAUCCGCGCCGCAUUGGCUAGUUGGUGAGGUAACGGGUUACCAAGGCAACGAUGCGUAGCCGAGCGGAGAGGGUGGUCGGCCACCCUGGAGGUGAGACGCGGUCAAGAGGACUAAGGGAGGGAGCAGUAGGGAAUCUUCGGCAAUGGGCGAAAGCCUGACGGAGUAACGCCAAGUGUGUUAUGAAGGUCCCCGGAUCGUAAAACUCUGUUAUGAGGGAAGAACCAAUGUGUAAGUAAAUAUACACGUAUUGACGGUACCUAAUCAGAAGGCAACGGCUAACUACGUG
rnacentral:rRNA from 1 species